rnacentral:rRNA from 1 species
GACGAACGCUGGCGGCGUGCCUAAUACAUGCAAGUAGAACGCUGAAGGAGGAGCUUGCUUCUCCGGAUGAGUUGCGAACGGGUGAGUAACGCGUAGGUAACCUGCCUGGUAGCGGGGGAUAACUAUUGGAAACGCUAGCUAAUACCGCAUAAGAGUAGAUGUCGCAUGACAUUUGCUUAAAAGGUGCAACUGCACCACUACCAGAUGGACCUGCGUUGUAUUAGCUAGUUGGUGAGGUAACGGCUCACCAAGGCAACGAUACAUAGCCGACCUGAGAGGGUGAUCGGCCACACUGGGACUGAGACACGGCCCAGACUCCUACGGGAGGCAGCAGGAGGGAAUCUUCGGCAAUGGACGGAAGUCUGACCGAGCAACGCCGCGGGAGUGAAGAAGGGUUUCGGAUCGGAAAGCUCUGUUGUAAGAGAAGAACGAGUGUGGGAGUGGAAAGUUCACACUGUGACGGUAUCUUACCAGAAAGGGACGGCUAACUACGUG